rnacentral:rRNA from 1 species
UACGUAGGUGGCAAGCGUUGUCCGGAUUUACUGGGCGUAAAGAGCGCGCAGGCGGUCGUAUAAGUCGAAUGUGAAAGCCCCCGGCUCAACUGGGGAGGGUCAUUCGAUACUGUUCGACUCGAAGGCAGGAGAGGGAAGUGGAAUUCCGGGUGUAGUGAUGAAAUGCGUAGAUAUCCGGAGGAACACCAGUGGCGAAGGCGACUUUCUGGCCUGUUCUUGACGCUGAGGCGCGAAAGCUAGGGGAGCGAACGGG